UUCUUCUGCCGCGGUAUACUUUUACUUUGCCCCGAUUUAGCCACACAAAUCCAAUAGGUUCAAUCGGGCCCCGACCAGGUGAUGGAUAUAGUCUAGGCCACGAGCUACACCGUCUCGUGGCACUAUCAUUCGGUGGCAUGUAAAUCGAGGUAUCAGAUCUCGUUGGCCACAAAUUCAUUUUAUUGUCAACACGGGUUGACGGCCCGACAGCAUAUGACCCGACCAUCAACAUCAUAGAUGGUCUGGGUGCAUAUGAUGUUGAUGGCUUCGAUAUAUCUAUCACCCGUACCUGUACCUCAGUGAGUUGAGGCUUUUUCUUUGAGUUUUUGGCCUUAGGCUUCGUUGCCUUAGGUUUUGUUUCCUUUAAUUUUAUUUUCCCUGGUUCCUUUGAGGAAGAGCAACAGAAGCUGACAGGUGCAACGUCUAUUCACAACCUAUCCUUAUCCUCUUAUGAUGAAAUAAGGGUACUGCAAGGCAUAAGCACUCCGUUUUAACUGUGACUGCCGCCGGAAGCCGAACUGAAGUUAGGCUCGUGGUGCGCGUUUCCGGAAGGGCCCAAUAUUACGCCGGAUAAAUCCGCUUUUAUCAUCCCGGACUCUUUUUCCAUUUUUACGAAAACAGGUUCUCCCAUUUCCAUUGGUACAAAAACACACUCACACGAAUCAUCAAAAUUUUAGCUUCAAAAUUAUAUUUUUUCACUUCCCAUUUAGAUCUUAAAA